UACGGGGGGGGUAAGCGUUGUUCGGAAUUACUGGGCGUAAAGGGCUCGUAGGCGGCCAACUAAGUCAGACGUGAAAUCCCUCAGCUUAACUGGGGAACUGCGUCUGAUACUGGAUGGCUUGGAUUCGGGAGAGGAAUGCGGAAUUCCAGGUGUAGCGGUGAAAUGCGUAGAUAUCUGGAGGAACACCGGUGGCGAGGGCGGCAUUCUGGACCGACAUUGACGCUGAGGAGCGAAAGCCAGGGGAGCAAACGGG
rnacentral:rRNA from 1 species